UACGUAGGGGGCAAGCGUUGUCCGGAUUUAUUGGGCGUAAAGAGCGUGUAGGCGGUCAGGUAGGUCAGCUGUGAAAACUCGAGGCUCAACCUCGAGACGCCGGUUGAAACCAUCUGACUAGAGUCCGGAAGAGGAGAGUGGAAUUCCUGGUGUAGCGGUGAAAUGCGCAGAUAUCAGGGGGAACACCGGUGGCGAAGGCGGGUCUCUGGGCCAUUACUGACGCUGAGGAGCGAAAGCGUGGGGAGCGAACAGG
rnacentral:rRNA from 1 species